AUGGAUGCAACAACCGGUAAAAGAAUAAAGAGCAAUGCAGCGAGGAUUGUGCUGCCAAUUUUAGGCUCUAGUGUUCUGGUACUCGUAUGCAUCUCCCUAGCAUGGUUAAAAUUCAGAGGAAAGAACAAAAAUUGGAGAAAUCCAAAUAAGGUAAGAUUGGAUGGUAUGGGAAUCUCUGACGAAUGUGAAGAAGAAAACCCUCCCUAUGAUCAAGCAUUUCCAUUCGUAAAACUAGAAGAAAUUUCCCUCACAACCCAAGAUUUCUCUGAAACCUGGAUGAUUGGAAAGGGAGGUUUUGGUAAAGUUUACAAGGGAGUGUUAGGUGGUCAAGAAGUUGCAAUCAAGAGACUAAGUAGAGAUUCUCGAUAA
rnacentral:rRNA from 1 species